rnacentral:misc_RNA from 1 species
AACAAUGGAGGCAUUGCGGAGAGGGGGCCGAACACACUAAGAACAUCGUACAAAAUACAAUCUAAAAACUUUUUCUGGAUAGUGGAUAGUAACAAAUGUUUUAAUAUUAGAAACGAUGGUUUACAUCAUCUACUACCAUGUUUUCCCAAAGAGAAAUCAUCUACCAUGUCUGGGGGACGCAUCAGCAGAGCGGGAUCGGGACCCCGAAGGAGAUCUUGAUGUUCUACCAGGAGAUGACCUCCAAUUAGCUCGUGCAUCCUCCCCUUCAAAUGCAGACUUGUCAUGAUAUCCAU